rnacentral:rRNA from 1 species
UACGAAGGGGGCUAGCGUUGCUCGGAAUCACUGGGCGUAAAGGGUGCGUAGGCGGGUUGUUAAGUCGGGGGUGAAAUCCUGGAGCUCAACUCCAGAACUGCCUUCGAUACUGGCGAUCUCGAGUUCGGGGAGAGGUGAGUGGAACUGCGAGUGUAGAGGUGAAAUUCGUAGAUAUUCGCAAGAACACCCGUGGCGAAAGCGGCUCUCUGGGACGGUACUGGAC